rnacentral:rRNA from 1 species
UCACUGCUAUCGGUGUCCGAUUAAGCCAUGCGAGUCGUGAGGGGUGAGCCCUCGGCGUACUGCUCGUAACACGUGGACAAUCUGCCCAAAGGUCCGGGAUAACCCCGGGAACGUAGGGAGUAAUACCGGAUAGGCCACCAACUGCUGGAAUGCUUGGUGGUUGAAACGCGAGGCUUUUGGUAUGGGUCGGCGGCGGAUUAGGUUGACGCGGUGUAACGUACCGCGUGCCUGUAAUCCGUACGGGUUGUGGGAGCAAAAAGACCGGAGAGGAUUCUGAGCACGAAUCCAGGCCUACGGGCGCAGCAGGCGCGAUG